CUUUCACUUUAGUUACCUUGGGGAGAAGUUAAAACAAGGAAAUCAACAAAGGGUAAACAAAAUGAGGGCAUUAAAUUACAACUCCUGUUGUGCGCCAUCACAUUGUCUCCGACUUAUGAUUACCCAAAGUCAAACCUAUCAUGGGUUUCUCUGGGGCUGAGAGUGUGCGACUGGCCCAAGGUCACCCAAUGGGUUUUCCUGGCCAAGCGGGGAAUUGAGCCCUGGUCUACAUGCUCAAACCACUACACCAAUCUGACUUUACAGAUGUGACAAAAUACGAUACGAAAAAUACACUCAAAUAGACUUAUUGGAUGAAAACCAGCACCAGAUUUAAAGCAUUUAAUGUACAGCUCCAGAUUGUAGCUAUGGGGAGGGUGCCAAAUGAGGGCAUUGCCCUCACCAUGGAAUUUUUCUUCGGUCCCCAAAUUUCUAUUGUUGCAAUUGCUUUAAAAAGGAAGGCAGAAUUUUUAUUGGAAGGGGCAAUGCCUUCAUGUGUCCCACUCCUCACAUAAUACCCAUAUCCCUUCUUAGCAGCCAGUCAUUUGCCAGAAAGAUUUACAUUUAAAAGUCUUUGGUUACUGGCAAAGACAGUAAGGCGAAGAAGGGAGUUCCACCAUCUUGGUGUCACCACCAACAAGACCCUUUCUUGAGACCUUACCAAAUGUGUCUAUGUCAGGGAUGUAGGGUUGCCAGUUGUAUUUUAAUACAAGGGGUGCCCAUUAUUUGAGGUCUGGAAAUCAUGUCCCUUAUUUUAAGGGACAUCCCCCAUUUGAGGGUUAGAAAGCUUUUCCUUUUAUAUGGACUGGUCAAGACGCAAAAACAAAACAAACCAGCCCAACCUGUCUUUUUGAGCUCUUCAGAAAGGCAAAAAAGUGGGGAUCAUAUAAUUUAGGAAUGCAAAAAAAUUACGAACAAUUUUAGGGAAUGCAAACCAUUGUUACAGAGAAACGCAUGGCUGAGUUAUUGGAAAUCAAUUUUAGGCAUUUAGGUAGAACUCGAACUUGUUAAAAGCUACUUCUAGUUGUUAUUUCUGCAUUGUCAUGACUUUCAACUGUCUCUUGUUGCUAUUUGGAAAACCUGGUGUUGCGGAGGAUGGCAAGACUGAAAGAAGGGCCUUUCCUGAAGACCUUAAAACUCAGCAUCACCACAGAUUCCUUCGGUGUUUACUGCAUUUCUGAAUCUCGCCCUUUGAUACAGAAUGAUAGAGGGCUGUUGUCUAACAGGAAAAGAAAUACCAAGGAAACAUGAGAAAUAUGCCAUUAAAAAACAAACAGCAAAGCACAUGCCGGCACAUGCAUCUCUUUCUUUCAUCGCCUGUUGCUGGCAAGAGAGCCAAUAUAAGACUAAUAACCAAACAUAGGAUUCAAGGAUCUGGGAUGGCAUUUAAACCUCGAUUCUCAAACCAGUCUGAGGUCAACCUGGGAAUCCAGUGUGGGUUUGUAAAAGGCCAACAAAGUGAGGAGGAGGAGAGCAUAAGAGCAUCAUGAGGAUCUAUUCUAUGCCCUCGCUGUGCCAUCCCACACACCUGCUGGAGAUUUCCUAAUCCUCCAUUCUGACCUACUUUUCUCCCUGCGCUGCCCACAGUGAUUCCGAUUUGUCCUGCCGUCUGCGUCGUAGCCAAGUCACUUCAGCCGCAAGUUACUUAACUCCCCAGUCUCAGAGCUCUGGCUCUCUGCGUAAUGUUGUUUUUAUUCCUUGUGUCACUGCAAUUCUGACUUAACAUUGUGGAACCGUUAUUGAUUCUGAUGGAGAUGCCAGAUCCCCUCGGUCUUGUGUAUCAUAUCUGUAUCACAUGUGAAAUCUGAACAUAAACCUAGAUCAUCUAUUGAGUCUCCUCGGCUACUGACUAAGCGAGGGUCAUAAUGAUGAAAACUGAUGAUGGUCACUUUGUGGUUGUUGCUAAUUGCUGUUCAAUUGACUUCAGUUUAUGGCAAACCUAUGAGUGACUAUAAAUCCAACAAUGGCUGUAAGCUCCCAGGUCACUGGGGCAGUAGAUCCUCUCCUGGUUUUUCUUUGGACCUUAAUAGCACAAUCCAAGGUGCUGAAACCAAACCCUCCAAUAGAUUCAACAAACUUUUAAUGUUCAGAUGGAUACCUGGAACAAGUCCCUCCUGUUAACUUAGGCCUUGCAAACUCAGGGCAAGCCUGGCUGCCUUGACUGAGGCCCAUUCAUGCUAUUAAAAUAGUCCAGGAUGAAUCCAGGUUGAAUCCUUGUUGUUCACACAUGUCCCAAAUGCACUCAAUGCACAUUUGGGUGGUGGGGUGGUGGCAAAAAGCCCACUUAAACUGGGAUAUUCAAUACUGUUUUUCCCCCUCAGGUAUUCCUGAAAGAUCCAAGUUGUCAGCUGUGUGAAUAAGCUUCUGAAUUGAUUCAGAUCACUCUGUAUCCUUCCUUCAAAGAGAGGCGGCUCUGCUUCAACCCGAAACGACGGCAUGUGCUGACCAGAUGUCCUCACCGCAAAGGAGGACAAGGCACCGCAAAAUGUUGGACAUUCAAGAAAAAUGGAGGCGGCUGCCAAAGGAAAGCAAAAAAGCCUAAUAGAAAUAUCAGCGCAUGCUUCGUGGUGAUGCUCAAAAUGGAGGACAUUUUGGAAUUCCUCUUGGACCAAAGAAAUGGAGGACCUGUCCUGGAGAAGAAGGCA